rnacentral:rRNA from 1 species
AUGGAGAGCUUGCUCUUCGGAUUAGUGGCGAACGGGUGAGUAACACGUGAGCAAUCUGCCCUUGACUCUGGGAUAAGCGUUGGAAACGACGUCUAAUACCGGAUACGACCUUGGAAGGCAUCUUCCUUGGUGGAAAGAAUUUUGGUCAGGGAUGAGCUCGCGGCCUAUCAGCUAGUUGGUGAGGUAAUGGCUCACCAAGGCGACGACGGGUAGCCGGCCUGAGAGGGUGACCGGCCACACUGGGACUGAGACACGGCCCAGACUCCUACGGGAGGCAGCAGUGGGGAAUAUUGCACAAUGGGCGAAAGCCUGAUGCAGCAACGCCGCGUGAGGGACGACGGCCUUCGGGUUGUAAACCUCUUUUAGUAGGGAAGAAGCGAAAGUGACGGUACCUGCAGAAAAAGCACCGGCUAACUACGUGCCAGCAGCCGCGGUAAUACGUAGGGUGCAAGCGUUGUCCGGAAUUAUUGGGCGUAAAGAGCUCGUAGGCGGUUUGUCGCGUCUGCUGUGAAAACCCGAGGCUCAACCUCGGGCCUGCAGUGGGUACGGGCAGACUAGAGUGCGGUAGGGGAGAUUGGAAUUCCUGGUGUAGCGGUGGAAUGCGCAGAUAUCAGGAGGAACACCAAUGGCGAAGGCAGAUCUCUGGGCCGUAACUGACGCUGAGGAGCGAAAGCAUGGGGAGCGAACAGGAUUAGAUACCCUGGUAGUCCAUGCCGUAAACGUUGGGAACUAGAUGUGGGGACCAUUCCACGGUCUCCGUGUCGCAGCUAACGCAUUAAGUUCCCCGCCUGGGGAGUACGGCCGCAAGGCUAAAACUCAAAGGAAUUGACGGGGGCCCGCACAAGCGGCGGAGCAUGCGGAUUAAUUCGAUGCAACGCGAAGAACCUUACCAAGGCUUGACAUAUAGAGGAAACGGCUGGAAACAGUCGCCCCGCAAGGUCUCUAUACAGGUGGUGCAUGGUUGUCGUCAGCUCGUGUC